rnacentral:lncRNA from 1 species
CACAGAAUGGAACAGGCAAAACUAGUUUCAGUCACAAAGGACAGCAUGUAGACCUACUGUUCACACCAGAUUCAUUACCAUCCACCCUAACACAGUGCCCCAGUAGAAUUCCCACCCAGCAGCGCCAUCUUGGUUGGGUUGCUUCCCACCCAGACUAGAACUGGCCUACAUAAAGGAUCAGAGGAAGGCAGUUCCGUGUCCCCAAGGUAGACCCAACCCCCUUUCUGGAAAAGUCAUGAAUAAUCCUCCUACUGGUUAUCUAAAAUUCUGCCCUCACCCUCAUGAGGACCCACCCUUUGUUUAGGUUGAAAAGCUGAUCUAUGAGUUUGUCUCCCUGCUUCUGUUCUCCAGCCAAAAAGACACAUUUCUUGUCUGCUCAAACAGCACUGGAUCUUGUCAUUGGUUCCAAAUUCCAAGAGGGAAAAUGGAUCCAGUUUGGUGUAAGAAAUUGGUAACAUGAGCAAAUGAAGAUUUGCACCAAAUGUUUAUUACUAUUCCAUCAGCUGCCUGUCAUGUUGGAUUUUCUGGAAAUGCUACAGAAUAAGAAUUGGGACUCUUUCCUCUUUGAGGCAAUAGAAAGGAAGCAAUCAAUGUAUCUCUGACCUGUAAAAAGAGAAUGGUGAAUAAAACCAACCUUUCCCAACAGAAAGCCACAGGUAGGGAGGGGCCAUAAACCUGGACAGGCAAAUUGGAAGGGUGAGGAGGAAGUCAGG